CCUACGGGUGGCAGCAGUGGGGAAUAUUGGGCAAUGGGCGCAAGCCUGACCCAGCAACGCCGCGUGAAGGAUGAAGGUUUUCGGAUUGUAAACUUCUGUCGCGAGGGACGAAGAAUGACGGUACCUCGUAAGAAAGCCCCGGCUAACUCCGUGCCAGCAGCCGCGGUAAUACGGAGGAUGCGAGCGUUAUCCGGAUUUAUUGGGUUAAAAGGGUGCGCAGGCGGAAGAUCAAGUCAGCGGUAAAAUUGAGAGGCUCAACCUCUUCGAGCCGUUGAAACUGGUUUUCUUGAGUGAGCGAGAAGUAUGCGGAAUGCGUGGUGUAGCGGUGAAAUGCAUAGAUAGCACGCAGAACUCCGAUUGCGAAGGCAGCAUACCGGCGCUCAACUGACGCUCAUGCACGAAAGUGUGGGUAUCGAACAGGAUUAGAUACCCCAGUAGUC
rnacentral:rRNA from 1 species